rnacentral:lncRNA from 1 species
AUGGAAGACCCACUAUGUGUUGAUAUCAUGUGUGGAAUCAGGGAUAUAAAGAUAAACACAGCAAGAUUGCUUCCUCAAAACUCAAAAAUUGAAGAAAUGUGCUCUCAGUGACAAGGGGAUGAAAGGUCUUGGUUCCACGAGGGUCCAUUCUGGAAGAAGAGGACCGUGCCAAUGGCAGGUACCCACAGAAGCAUCCAAGUUACCUGGAGGUGGGUGAGGGCUGGGUUAUCACUGAUCCAUGAUUCAGUGAAUAUUUAC